rnacentral:tRNA from 4 species
UGGGGAAUAGUUCAAUGGCAGAACGGCGGACUCUGACUCCGUUAAUCUUGGUUCGAAUCCAAGUUCCCCAACCA